UAGCAUAUCACUAAGCGGAGGAGAAGAAACUAACCAGGAUUUCCCUAGUAACGGCGAGCGAACCGGAAAGAGCCCAGCUUGAAAAUCGUGGUGCCUCGCACCUCGAGUUGUAGUCUGGAGAAGUGUCCUCUGCAGCGGACCAGACCCAAGUUCACUGGAAAGUGGCGUCAGAGAGGGUGAAAGCCCCGUCUAGUCUGGACACUGUUGCAAAACGAGGCACUGUCUGCGAGUCGAGCUGUUUGGGAAUGCAGCUCUAAGUGGGUGGUAAAUUCCAUCCAAGGCUAAAUAUUGGCAAGAGACCGAUAGCGAACAAGUACCGCGAGGGAAAGAUGAAAAGGACUUUGAAAAGAGAGUUAAAAAGUGCUUGAAAUUGCUGGGAGGGAAGCGAAUGGAAGCUGCGGGUGUGCCCCGGUUGGAUGUGGAACGGUUCAGGCUGGUCCGCCGCUCAACGCGGGGCACUGGUCAGCGUGGGCCAUCGCGGCGGGACAAGAGCGGGAUGUAGUUUCCUGCCUAUGCCGUUGUGGUGGCCGAGGAACGAAGCAUGCGCCUCUUUUGGCGUGGCAUAAUGAUGCCAACUGCAUGCUCGGGACGCUGGCGUAUUGAGCUCUUCAUCCGACCCGUCUUGAAACACGGACCAAGGAGUCUAACAUGUAUGCGAGCCGGUGGGCGGCAAACCCAUUGAGGCGCAAGUAAACUGACAGGUGAGACCCCGACCGCAAGGAAGGGAGCAUCAUCGACCGACCGUGAUCUUCUGUGAAAGGUUUGAGUGUGAGCACACAUGUUGGGACCCGAAAGAUGGUGAACUAUGCCUGAGCAGGGCGAAGCCAGAGGAAACUCUGGUGGAGGCUCGUAGCGAUACUGACGUGCAAAUCGUUCGUCAGACUUGGGUAUAGGGGCGAAAGACUAAUCGAACCAUCUAGUAGCUGGUUCCCUCCGAAGUUUCCCUCAGGAUAGCUGGAGCUCGUGUAAAAGUUUUAUCAGGUAAAGCGAAUGAUUAGAGGCAUCGGGGGUGUAACACCCUCGACCUAUUCUCAAACUUUAAAUAGGUAA
rnacentral:rRNA from 1 species